rnacentral:rRNA from 1 species
AGCGAACGCUGGCGGCAGGCUUAACACAUGCAAGUCGAGCGGGCACUUUCGGGUGUCAGCGGCGGACGGGUGAGUAACGCGUGGGAACGUGCCCUCUGGUUCGGAAUAACUCAGGGAAACUUGAGCUAAUACCGGAUACGCCCUUUUGGGGAAAGGCUUGCUGCCGGAGGAUCGGCCCGCGUCUGAUUAGCUAGUUGGUGAGGUAACGGCUCACCAAGGCGACGAUCAGUAGCUGGUCUGAGAGGAUGAUCAGCCACACUGGGACUGAGACACGGCCCAGACUCCUACGGGAGGCAGCAGUGGGGAAUAUUGGACAAUGGGCGCAAGCCUGAUCCAGCCAUGCCGCGUGAGUGAUCAAGGCCUUAGGGUUGUAAAGCUCUUUUAUCCGGGACGAUAAGGACGGUACCGGAGGAAUAAGCCCCGGCUAACUUCGU